rnacentral:rRNA from 1 species
AACGAACGCUGGCGGCAGGCUUAACACAUGCAAGUCGAACGCCCGUAGCAAUACGGGAGUGGCGGACGGGUGAGUAACGCGUGGGAACGUGCCCUGAGGUACGGAAUAACUGCGGGAAACUGCAGCUAAUACCGUAUGAGCCCCGCAAGGGGGAAAGAUUUAUCGCCUUAGGAGCGGCCCGCGUCGGAUUUGCUAGUUGGUGGGGUAACGGCUUACCAAGGCUUCGAUCCGUAGCUGGUCUGAGAGGACGAUCAGCCACACUGGGACUGAGACACGGCCCAGACUCCUACGGGGGGCAGCAGUGGGGAAUCUUGCGCAAUGGGGGCAACCCUGACGCAGCCAUGCCGCGUGAAUGAUGAAGGCCUUAGGGUUGUAAAGUUCUUUUGCCCGUGACGAUGAUGACGGUAACGGGAGAAUAAGCUCCGGCUAACUUCGUGCCAGCAGCCGCCGUAAGAC